rnacentral:lncRNA from 1 species
GUGUCACCCGACAAAAGUGUCCAGUCAGAAAGUUGGAACCAAUAUUUCUCAGGCAAUGAAUUUUGGUUUGAACCAGUAAUAAUGAAGAGUCUGAGAAAAACGUAAACCUUGAUGCUGCUAAUAUUCAUCAAUGAAUUACCUAGCAGUACUGUUAGAUUAUUUAUAAUUCAAAAAGCAUUUUUUGUUUGGAAAGACAUUAAUUAUUACUACAACCCAUUCUAAGGCUAGUUAGUAGUUACUCUCCUCACUCUGAAUUUCUACCCCUGGAGUCAACUACUUUCAAAUCCUUUUUUGUUUCUUCCGCCAUUUACCUUAAUGUUUCUAAAUAAUAUGCUCACCCUCUUCCUUCUUGAUUUUCCUGUUUUAACAUCAUGACUUCCUACUCUAGAGAAUGAGGAUGUGACUCUUGUACACCACCUCCCAUCAUCCUAUAUACUUCCCUUCCCUCAGAUGGGUAAGAUUUCAACAUCAGAAUUGGGAGUACAUUUUCUGGACAGGCAAAUCAAACAGAUACAGCAAUAGUUAGAUUAGUAUGUAGGUCAUCCCUAGAAGGUUAGAAGGAAACAAAACUAGAAAGGGGGUUUGGAACCAGAGCAUGGAGAGCCACCAGGCUAGGGAAUUAGAACUUAAUCUAGUGUGUUGUAGGGAGCCACUGAAGGUUUAAGGCAGGAAGUGGCAAGAGCAAAGCUGUAGUAGGGGAUGGCUAUCCCAGCAGCAUCUGUAGGGUGGAUGAGAGCAGGGGUCAUGUGACAGUACAAACAACGGGCCAUUCAUUCAUUCAUCCAUGCGUUUAUUCUAUCAACUUUCUCAUCUCCAUUUACACGGGAGCCCUAGUUAAUGCCCGUCUCUACCACUGCACAGUGGGUUCUGCACUUGCCCUUUUGGUUGUUACUGUGUCUUAGCACUGGCAUAGUGGCUGGCACAUGUUAGGUGUUUAAUAAAUGUUUGUUGAGGCCAGGCGCGGUGGCUCAUGCCUGUAAUCCCAGCACUUUGGGAGGCCGAGGCAGGCGGAUCGUGAGGUCAGGGGAUCGAGACCAUCCUGGCUAACAUGGUGAAACCCCGUCUCUACUAAAAAGACAAAAAAAAAUUAGCUGGGCGUGGUGGCGGGCGCCUGUAGUCCCAGCUACUCAGGAGGCUGAGGCAGGAGAAUGGCGUGAACCCGGGAGGCGGAGCUUGCAGUGAGCCGAGAUUGCGCCACUGCACUCCAGCCUGGUGACAGAGUGAGACUCCGUCUCAAAAAAUAAAAAUAAAUAAAUAAAUAAAUGUUUGUUGAAGGAAGGGAUGACAGCUGUUGGUAAUGUGGAGAUAAAUAGGGUAUUGGCCAUGAUGAGAGAGCUGGAGCCAUUUUAGAGAGAGACACGAACUUGGCUGCUAACUGAAGGGCAGGAGACUUGGGGUGUCAAAGUGGCUCCACAUAGGAGCCCAGGUGAGUGACAGUUUCAAGAGCAGGAUUAGGAGGGCUGAGGGGAGUUGGUGAACAGUCAGAUGAUAGUUUGCCUUUAGGAAUGUUUGGUUAAACAAAUCUCACACCACUUCAGCCUGUGAUUCAAGUCAACCCAAGGGCUCCUCAACCCAGUCUCAACCAAGAUAUUUCCGCACUCUGUUAUCCCAGAUGUUGUGACGUUUGGCUCAGCUGCCUGCCGUGCUCCGACAGUGGGGCUGGGUCCCCAGUCAUUUCCUUUUGGCCGCUUUAUUAAGUGCCCAGCUGAUUUGGCCUGAGCAGACUGUAUCAGUUGGCUCACUGUCGCAUCCCCCAGUGUGCGGCGUGUAACAGGCCUUCAGUAAAUACUUACUGGGUGAAUGUAUGACUUUCUUUUUGUAUUAUUAUUUUUUAUUUCCCUAGUUUUUGGGGUACAGGUAGUUUUUGGCGACAUGGAUGAAUUCUAUAGUGGUGGAUUCUGAGAUUUAGUGCACCUGUCACUGGGGCAGUGUGCACUGUACCCAACCUCCCCAACUCCAAGAUCCCACAGCCUAUUUUAUCACUCUGUAUGUCUUUGCAUCCUCACGGCUUAGCUCCCACUUCUAAGUGAGAACAUAUGGCAUUUGGUUUUCCAUUCCUGAGUUACUUCACUUAGAAUAGCGGCCUCCAGGCAAGGCUUGGUGGCUCACACCUGUAAUCCCAGCACUUCGGGAGGCCAAGGCGGGCAGAUCACGAGGUCAGGAGAUCGAGACCAUCCUGGCUAACACGGCGAAACCCCAUCUCUACUAAAAAUACAAAAAAUUAGCCGGGCAUGGUGGCGGGCACCUGUAGUCCCAGCUACUUGGGAGGCUGAGGCAGGAGAAUGGCGUGAACCCGGGAGGCGGAGCUUUCAGUGAGCCGAGAUCGCGCCACUGCACUCUAGCCUGGGAGACAGAGCGAGACUCCAUCUCAAAAAAAAAAAAAAAAAAAAAUAGUGGCCUCCAGCUGCAUCCAAGUUGCUGCAAAGGACAUGAUUUUGUUCCUUUUUAUGACUGAGUACUUUUCCAUGGUGUAUUUUCUUUAUCUACUCGAUGCUCAGUGGGCACUUAUAUUGGUCCCAUAGCUUUGCAAUUGCAAAUCGUGCUGCUGUAAACAUGCAUGUGCGUGUGUCUUUUUCAUAUAAUGACUUCUGAUCCUUUGGGUAGAUACCCAGUAGUGGGAUUGCUGGAUUGAAUGGUAGAUCUACUUUAAUUCCUCGAGAACUCUCCUUACUGUUUUCCAUAGAUGUUGUACUAAUUUAGAAUGCGUGACUUUCUGUACCAGACAUUACUGGGUUCCCUCUGCGUGUGGAUGUCAGGGGAGGUGCCAUGAAGAUGGUACUAGAACUGAAGAGGAGGGUGUGUAUCAGGGGAACAAGGGAGGGGCCAGCGCUCCAGGCUCAGGGUUCUGUAUACACAAGGGUGAAGGAGCCGGUUUGGGCAAUGGAAGCAGAUUCUUUUUGUUGGUCAUUUGGGAACGAGUCUAAUCUCAGACACUCAGCUGCAAUUCUUGUUAAAAGCAACAGGUUGAGUAAUCUGAGGAGCAGGGCCAAGGAGAGAAAUUCACUGGCUUAAUGCAGCUGCCCAAGCCCCAGAUGUCAGUCAGUUGAUGCACUGGGAAUGAGGGCAGCUUUACCUGGAGCCAGUCACAGUGUUGCCAAUCUCCUGGGACCUGAGUGUGCUCCCUUCCACCUGGAGACAGGUUCUGCCCUUGGACUAACAGGAAGAAUCUCCUGGGAGGUGCCUUGUACUGAUGCUCACAGUCGCCCCUGGAACAAAGACUUUGUUUUGGAAAGCAUGACUCGGGGGAUUAUCACCAAAACCUGUCUCAUCAGCAGCUAGGCUUCCAGGGCCAGUGUCCCUUGGAGAUUUGAGAUUACAGCAUCUACCAAGGAGUCCAGCUUCCUUCAAGGGGACUGUGCAAGGUGCCACAUGGCCUGUUCCUACAGGGCGCCUCUCGUGUUGAGAUGUGUAGAUGUGUAGAUUCGUGUGUGUGUGUGUGUGUGUGUGUGCGUGUGUGUACCUCCCUAGCCAGAAGUCGGGGGAAAACUCCAAACCCAAACUAGUGAAAUUCAGAGGUUGCCAAACCUCUAAACUUGACAUCUGGUAUAACCUGGAGUUGGCCAAGAGGUCCUGGGUGUUCACCUCUCAUAACCUGGGCAGGGUCUCCAGCUGCCAGUUGUCAGACCAGGGGCAUAGCCAGCCACUGGAACGAGGGAGAGGCUAGAAAAUGAAUUCCUGCCCUAUCCUGUCAUCUCA